rnacentral:rRNA from 1 species
GAUGAACGCUAGCUACAGGCUUAACACAUGCAAGUCGAGGGGAAACGAUAGAGAAAGCUUGCUUUUUCUAGGCGUCGACCGGCGCACGGGUGAGUAACGCGUAUCCAACCUGCCCAUCACUUGGGGAUAACCCUUGCGAAAGUAAGACUAAUACCCAAUGAUAUCUCUAGAAGACAUCUGAAAGAGAUUAAAGAUUUAUCGGUGAUGGAUGGGGAUGCGUCUGAUUAGCUUGUUGGCGGGGUAACGGCCCACCAAGGCGACGAUCAGUAGGGGUUCUGAGAGGAAGGUCCCCCACAUUGGAACUGAGACACGGUCCAAACUCCUACGGGAGGCAGCAGUGAGGAAUAUUGGUCAAUGGACGAGAGUCUGAACCAGCCAAGUAGCGUGCAGGAUGACGGCCCUAUGGGUUGUAAACUGCUCUUAUAAGGGAAUAAAGUGAGUCUCGUGAGGCUCUUUGCAUGUACCUUAUGAAU